CCCAGACUCCUACGGGAGGCAGCAGUGGGGAAUAUUGCACAAUGGGGGAAACCCUGAUGCAGCGACGCCGCGUGAGUGAAGAAGUAUUUCGGUAUGUAAAGCUCUAUCAGCAGGGAAGAUAAUGACGGUACCUGAGUAAGAAGCCCCGGCUAACUACGUGCCAGCAGCCGCGGUAAUACGUAGGGGGCAAGCGUUAUCCGGAUUUACUGGGUGUAAAGGGAGCGUAGACGGCAUGGCAAGUCUGAAGUGAAAGCCCGGGGCUCAACCGCGGGACUGCUUUGGAAACUGUUAAGCUGGAGUGCAGGAGAGGUAAGUGGAAUUCCUAGUGUAGCGGUGAAAUGCGCAGAUAUUAGGAGGAGCACCAGUGGCGAAGGCGGCUUACUGGACUGUAACUGACGUUGAGGCUCGAAAGCGUGGGGAGCAAACAGGAUUAGAUACCCGAGUA
rnacentral:rRNA from 1 species